CUUGGAUUUUGGCUUCAAAUCUUCAUUUUAAGGCUAAAAGGUUUUAACGGUAUUUUCGGACUACCUUGAUUAAGAUUUUGUUAGGUGGCAUCGUUAAGUCUCAGGAUCGAAGGUAGUUGGAUCCUAGGUCGAGGUGCUCUCUCCUAUUCAUCUUUCAGUAGGUUCACCAUGCCACUAAAUGUUAGUACCCACACCCAGAGUCACUCCGCUGACGGUCAGGGUCAUUAUAUGUGUAUAUGUAUAUUUAAGGUGAAUUGCUAAGAUUCAUUUGUCAGACUAUCUAUGUAUAUUAUGAUCGAUGAUGCCAUUAUGAGUAAAUACUUGGGUUUUAUGAAUUGUUUUCAAAGAAAUUAUAUUUGAAUAUUAUGAAUUAUAGAUUUUAAAGAAAUAUGGAUGAUAGAUGGGCUAAUA